rnacentral:SRP_RNA from 1 species
GCUGGGCAUAGUGGCACGUGCCUGUAGUCCCAGCUACUUGGGAGGCUGAAGUGGGAGGAUCACUUGAGCCCAGGAGCUCUGGGCUGUAGUGCGCUAUGCUGAUCGGGUGUCCGCACUAAGUUCAGCAUCAAUAUGGUGACCUCCCAGGAGCUGGGGAUCACCAGGUUGCCUAAGGAGGGGUGAACUGGCCCAGGUCAGAAACAGAGCAGGUCAAAACUCCCGUGCUGAUCAGUAGUGGGAUCGCACCUGUGAAUAGCCACUGCACUCCAGCCUGGGCAACAUAGCGAGAUCCUGUCUCU